GGAUGUGAGGGCGAUCUGGCUGUGACACCUGUCACUCUGAUCUGGCUGGCUAGGCGGGUGUCCCCUUCCUCCCUCACCGCUCCAUGUGCGUCUCUCCCAAAGCUGUGCACUCGGUCUAGGAGGACAGCCUUUUCCGAAUACAGACAGACCCGUCUUCUGUCCAGGGUAUAGGAGUAGCUGCGCUCCCCUGCUAGAACCUCCAAACAAGCUCUCAAGGUCCAUCUGUAGGAGAACGUAGGGUAGGCAAGCUUCCAGGACUCCAGACACAUCCAAAUGAGGCACUGCAUGUGGCAGUCUGCCUUACUUU
rnacentral:snRNA from 1 species